rnacentral:lncRNA from 1 species
GGAGGAGCAAUCAAGGGCGUGAUAGCCUUGACGCCGAUCUGAUCGUCUCUCCGGCGACGAUCGGCGGGAGGAACAGUCCAAUCCUGGACGGCAUUCUCAGGAACAGGGGACUGAGUGACAGAAGCCUGACGGGGAAUAACAGAACGGGAAUCUCCACCACAGCAGGCAGAAUUAGAAGAAGAAGAAGAAGAGGAAGGAAUCUUCGCUUUUUCCUGA